rnacentral:tRNA from 10 species
GGUUAUGUAGCUCAGCUGGUUAGAGCACAGCAUUCAUAAUGCUGGGGUCGGUGGUUCAAGUCCACCCAUAACCACCA